rnacentral:rRNA from 1 species
GACAGAGGGUGCAAACGUUGUUCGGACUUACUGGGCGUAAAGCGCGUGUAGGCGGCUUUGCAAGUCGGAUGUGAAAGCCCACGGCUCAACCGUGGAAGUGCAUCCGAAACUGCAUGGCUUGAGUCUCGGAGAGGAAGGUGGAAUGCUUGGUGUAGAGGUGAAAUUCGUAGAUAUCAAGCAGAACACCUGCGGCGAAGGCGGCCUUCUGGACGAUGACUGACGCUGAGACGCGAAAGCGUGGGGAGCAAACAGG